rnacentral:rRNA from 1 species
GACGAACGCUGGCGGCGUGCUUAACACAUGCAAGUCGAGCGGAAAGGCCCUGCUUUUGUGGGGUGCUCGAGUGGCGAACGGGUGAGUAACACGUGAGUAACCUGCCCUUGACUUUGGGAUAACUUCAGGAAACUGGGGCUAAUACCGGAUAGGAGCUCCUGCUGCAUGGUGGGGGUUGGAAAGUUUCGGCGGUUGGGAUUGACUUGCGGGUUUUCCGGCUGUUGGUGGGGUAGUGGGCUACCAAGGGCUUGACGGGUAGCCGGCCUGAGAGGGUGACCGGCCACAUUGGGACUGAGAUACGGCCCAGACUCCUACGGGAGGCAGCAGUGGGGAAUAUUGCACAAUGGGCGGAAGCCUGAUGCAGCAACGCCGCGUGCGGGAUGACGGCCUUCGGGUUGUAAACCGCUUUCGCCUGUGACGAAGCGUGAGUGACGGUAAUGGGUAAAGAAGCACCGGCUAACUACGUG